GAUGAACGCUGGCGGCGUGCCUAAUACAUGCAAGUCGAGCGAAUGGAUUAAGAGCUUGCUCUUAUGAAGUUAGCGGCGGACGGGUGAGUAACACGUGGGUAACCUGCCCAUAAGACUGGGAUAACUCCGGGAAACCGGGGCUAAUACCGGAUAACAUUUUGAACCGCAUGGUUCGAAAUUGAAAGGCGGCUUCGGCUGUCACUUAUGGAUGGACCCGCGUCGCAUUAGCUAGUUGGUGAGGUAACGGAUCACCAAGGCAACGAUGCGUAGCCGACCUGAGAGGUUGAUCGGCCACAAGGGGACUGAGACACGGCCCAGACUCCUACGGGAGGCAGCAGUAGGGAAUCUUCCGCAAUGGACGAAAGUCUGACGGAGCAACGCCGCGUGAGUGAUGAAGGCUUUCGGGUCGUAAAACUCUGUUGUUAGGGAAGAACAAGUGCUAGUUGAAUAAGCUGGCACCUUGACGGUACCUAACCAGAAAGCCACGGCUAACUACGUGCCAGCAGCCGCCGUAA
rnacentral:rRNA from 1 species